AUAAGAAAAAAUGCAUCUUAGAGUUGGCAGUGUGAGGAAUAACCUACCUCCCAAGGUUCCUAUCUGUUUUGUCAUUAUGGUUACAGUAAAGUCUGAUCAAAUGCAGUGGAGUUUUCCAGUAAUGGUAACUAUUAUUUAUGGAGCAUGCAUUAAUGUGAUAUAUUUAUUAAUUUUUUGCUUAAUUUUCUUGUUUAAAUUUUCCCUAUUUUUCCUUU
rnacentral:sRNA from 1 species